rnacentral:rRNA from 1 species
AUACGAAGGGUGCAAGCGUUACUCGGAAUUACUGGGCGUAAAGCGUGCGUAGGUGGUUGUUUAAGUCUGUCGUGAAAGCCCUGGGCUCAACCUGGGAAUGGCGAUGGAAACUGGGCGACUAGAGUGUGGCAGAGGGUAGUGGAAUUCCUGGUGUAGCAGUGAAACGCGUAGAGAUCAGGAGGAACAUCCGUGGCGAAGGCGACUGCCUGGGCCAACACUGACACUGAGGCACGAAAGCGUGGGGAGCAAACAGGAUUAGAUACCCUGGUAGUCCACGCCCUAAACGAUGCGAACUGGAUGUUGGGUGCAAUCUGGCACGCAGUAUCGAAGCUAACGCGUUAAGUUCGCCGCCUGGGGAGUACGGUCGCAAGACUGAAACUCAAAUGAAUUGACGGGG